rnacentral:lncRNA from 1 species
UUGGAAACGCUCUGUUUGUACAGUACCACAUCUUGUUUGUGUUAACCAACGUAGCAAGGCAGUUGUGCAGCUCUGGGAUGCAAAAGCCAGGGCAUUAACCUACAGUAAUGGGAUGUUAUUACAGAGGAAGAUGGAAAGUGGAUUCUGCCAGCAUCUGCCAGUGGGAAAAUUGUUAUGAGGCUUCCUCCUUACCCACAGGAACCAGAAGCUCAUUCUGCUGUGAAGAUUCAAGGAUUGUGGCAGUAGCAUGGCUUCAGGACCAUGAGAUUUAAGACAAGAGCUAAUUGACACAGCAGAACAGUGGUUACUACUCAGCAAAGAAGCAAGUCAGAAUGAAUAUGAAAACUGCUGCAAAGAAGUCAAAUUCUUGAAAGCAAGGAAAGAUUGGCAACAUCUACCAAGCUUCCCCAGCCUUCAAAAAUUGGGUGUGCAGGCUGUGGAUAUUCAGGGGCAUCCCACAGAGGUGUGAUCCUGACAGCAGCAGUGACAGCAGAAAAUGCACACAUUGGAAUGGGGACAGGCCCAAUCAGCUGGAAUCCCUUUGGUGAGAAAUUGUUUGCCUUAACAACUUUGGACACUGCAGAAAUUGCCUAAGCCUACCAGGAGAACCUGCAUUAAAAAUCACUGUUCGUGAGAAAGUGGCACACAGUUAAAACAACUGUAAGUGUGUAAUAAAUUUCCUGGACAAGUCA